AGGCAGUUGAGAAAUCCUGGAAUCUCUUCCUAAAGGGAAUCCUACCUGAGUGCUGCGGCCAAUGCUUCAGUCCCAAUGAAUCGAAAUACACUGGCUGGUGCACCUACAACUUCAACGGCUGCGGCGAAAAGGCAUUCCCGGCGAAGGAGAAGUACUUCUGCUGCUGUAACGAAUCAUGCAUCUGCUGCCUCCCGAGGGUUUAGAACGAAUCAUAUAUAUGUAUGCUCAAGCUUCUAAUGAUCUUAGAGAUUUGUGCACCAGCAAUAAGUGUUGCUUCCCAGCUCAAGCGUUCAUUCCAGUAACACCGGUCGCAGUGCUUUGCUAAGAAUAUGGUUGUCUUCAUUGAAAUAAUUCAGCGACAACACCCUAAUUGAGACCUCAUAUUGUAUAACCGAUUCCAAAGUUUGAGUGUUGAGAGAUAGGUUUAAACUAUUUGAGCUUCUUCUCUUUGAUUAGUGAGAUUUGCAGAAAGAGCUUUAUGAAUAAAAAUUAUUGAUAGGACAAUUAAAUAAAACGUG